GACAGAGGGGGCAAGCGUUGCUCGGAAUUACUGGGCGUAAAGGGCGCGUAGGCGGGAUGGCAAGUCGGUCGUGAAAUCCCUCGGCUCAACCGAGGAACGUCGAUCGAUACUGCUGUUCUUGAGGAUUGCAGAGGAGACUGGAAUUCCCGGUGUAGCGGUGAAAUGUGUAGAGAUCGGGAGGAACACCAGAGGCGAAGGCGGCGACCUGGACAGAUACUGACACUCAACUGCGAAAGCGUGGGGAGCAAACAGG
rnacentral:rRNA from 1 species